UAUACCCGCAAUUCCAGAGAUUGCCAGGACAGAUUCUCCUCCACAGAUCCCCUGCAUUGAUCCUGGAUUCAGUCCCAUUUCUAGUGGUAUCGGCCGUCCAGACGUAGAUCCAGAGGGAUCUGUGUUGUUACCUGGGUCAGAGAGUCUUGCGGUCUUCAACGAAGCUCCCAUCGCCUGGCUGUCUGGUAGAGAACCAUUCCUUAGUCCUCGAAGUAGGAUAUCUAAGAGGGAUGAUAUUUCACAGGAGGACUUAAUGAUCAGGGGGCACUGGCUCUGUUGGUGGUCACUGGCACACAGGCCUCAAUCCAGACAAGGUGGAAUCAAAGCUCAUAAAAUGAGCUCCAUAAACUUCACGUGGAAUCAUCUCUGAUGGAUCCACUUCUUCCAUGAUGUUGGAGGAAUCUGAAGACAGUCAAGAAAAAAAAAAAGGGAUAACCUACUUUGGCGGUCUGUGAUAUUGGCGGAGGAGCCGGGAUGCAUCAGGACGAGUGGCGGGAGCGAUUUUGAGGAGCGGUAACAAAAUCUGGCGACAACUCAAGACCACCCAGGAGAGGUAACAAAAUCUGGCUACAACUCAUGCCCACGCUGUCCACACACUGACUUGAGCCAAGGUCAAAGCUUCAUUGUCCGAUGUGGUCUUUCAUCUCUCACUAAUAUGCAGCUGUCCAUCAACAGGCCCAAAGAGUUCAGACAUUACAGGUUACACGUUACAUUUCAUCUUUAAAAAAAAAUUAUUCAACCGAUAGAGAUAUUUAACAACCAAUUUCCUCAUUCUGUCAGCUGUAUUUUUACGACACCCGUUACAUGUCAACAUUUUCUUUUUUUUUUCCUCACGUCUUCAAGAACUACCCAAGAUGACAAUAUCCAGUGUUUAGUCUUAAUUUGUGGUUACAAAGUAAAAAUAAUAUCAGAAAUUGUCAUUGACACCCAAAUGUAUUUCUAUUGGGAAAAGGUUGUAUUAGCAUCCUGCAUACA